rnacentral:lncRNA from 1 species
ACUCACCCUUCAACCUUCCUCUCUCUCAAACCUCGGUCACCACCACACGACCUUACUGAACUCGACACCCACACAUCUCACGCUGCACCCUCCUCUUCUUCCUUUUUCCCGGCGAAGAGCGCCGGCUUCCCGAGCAGCAGCAACCGCGGAGAACCCACGGCCGCCGCAGUCAGAAACAGCCACCGCCGCCUGACCUAGCUUCCCUGAAACCACCGAUUCCCUCCUCCUUCCGACGACAACAGCUCGCUGCCGCCGCCAGUCUCUCUCCCUCUCGACUGCUCUCACGGCCGCUGGAGCUCGCUGGAGCAACGGCGACCACGACAGGCUCCACCUCCGCUGCUACUCCAUCGUGCCCGGACCAGACCACCUCUCCC